ACCCACCUUGGCCUCCCAAAGUGCUGGGAUUACAGGCAUGAGUCACUGUGCCCGGUCACUUCAUUCCCUUUUAAGACUGAGUUGGGUUUCUCCAUUCAUCCUUCCAUGGACACGUGGGUUGCCUCCACUUUUUUGCGGCUGUGAAUAAGGCUGCUCUGAGCGUACAUGCACAUGUACCACUUUGGGAGCUAUUGUUAUCAUCCUCAUUCCACAGAUGAGAAAACUGAGGUCCUGUGGUUCAGUGGCCUGUCAAGCCCUUGUGGAGCUGGAGAGUUGGGUGUUGCAGUAACCACGGAGACAGGGAGAGUGUCGGACUUAGUGGACGUCAGAAGGAGCCAUGUGAGCCGUACAGUCCCGGGGAGAGGACCGAAGGCUGGGUCUCAGCCGAAGCCCUACCGGCCACUGGAGCACUGGGCACCGGAGGCUUCACCCCUCAACGCCCGGCCACACGCACAUCGUCCGAUCCCAACAGCCCAGGAGCUCCUAGGCCUCAACCCUUAGAAAGGCAGCAUUUCACAACCUCGCUCCCCACCAUGAGUCUUCAUGGGUGCGGCUCCGGCUCACCCCGAAGCACUGGGCUGCAGCCCCUGGCAGUGUUUCUCUCUUCUCCUGGGCUGCAGAGGGCCAGGGUCUCCCAGAAAACCUUCUCCGACCCUGCUAGUCAAAUUUGUUGAAAAACAGCUUUUUCAGAGAUGGAGUUUAUUCAUCAUAAAGAUCACUCAUUUUAAGUGUCUAAUUCAAUAGUGUUUAGUGAAUUUGCAGAAUUGUACAACCCUUACCGCAAUCUAAUUUUAGAACGUUUCCAUCACCAAAAAGAAACCUUGCACUCUGCUAA